UGCAUGCAUCCUAGCGAAGUUAUUUAUCUCGCUUUAUCUCGAUUAUUCGGCGGCCGCUUACGCCCCUAAUUUCCACCGUUGGCUCCUCGUAUUUUCUUAAUGAUAUCGAAAUAAAAUCCCAAAAUUAUAAAAGUGUGUAAUUAAAUUAACGCAACCACUUUCCCUCGAACUACAUUUAUUUCGGACUUAUGUUAUAAUUAUUCAUUCGUUGAAAUAUUCCGGAAUUAAUUAAAGAAUUCCCCACAAUUAAUUUAAUUAUCAAUUCAAAGAUUUAUUUAAAAAGCUCAAACCUAAUUAUUUCCCACCUUAUAUCUCCAUUUAAAUUGAAAAGCCUAAACAAAAUUAAUUGGGGCCCAACUAACCAUAUCCUACCAUUUAAAUUAAAAAGGCCCAAAACUAAGUCUUCUUCCCUUUUUUUUAAAAAACCCAGCGGCCCUUCUUCUUAAGAUAUUUUUAACAGCCCAAAGCCAUUUUUUUUUAUCAAAAGUCCCAAAUGAAAAAAAAACUCUCCCCACCUACGUGUAACACACUCUAUCUCCUCCCUCCCUUCUCUCUAUCUCUCGACAAAAUUAGAGAAACUCACGACUGCCGGCCGAUUCAUCCCCCUCGGCACCGGCCGUUGCUCGCUAAUCUACCAGAAGAGGUACUGCUGUCUCGCCUGGAGAACGUCGCGGUCGCCGCUGCUCUCCGCACGCCGUCGCUGCUGUGCGGUUCAGCCGUCGCUGCCGUUUCGCGCCGCUGCUGCUCGUCGCCGGAGUCCGCCGCUGCUGUCACGACGGCCCUGCUGCCUCGCCGUCCAGCCCUCGCCAGCCACUGCGGUCGUCACUCCCGGCGUUCCGUCGUCGCACCUCCAACUCCGCUAGAGCCGUCGGAAGAGCGACGCCACUACUGUCAGCGACGCGUCCAUCCAUCAAUUCCGCCACCCGUUGCUCCUAUUUACCCCGAAACAGACCCGACGCCUCCGACACUAACCCGACUCUCCCCGCAAGUUAAGUUCUCAGAUUUGAUUCCAGUUCUUCAAAGAAUGCAGCAGUUUCAAAACGUAUUUGGUUGGAGGGGGUGUAUACCUUCAACAAUCUGAGACGGGUAAGCUGUAAAUAAUAGAGGUUGUCGCUUCUAUCUUCCUUUCUCGGUCCUGUUCAAGAAGUUCAAUGAGUUUGGCGAUUUGAUUUAGAAGUAAAAACGUGUACAGAGAUGGAGAUUGCCAAAUUACCUUGAAUUGAAAUUUGAAGAGAAUUUCUUGUUUUGCUGCAGAGAUGGGAAGAAAGAAACAAAGAGUGCAGUCUGUAUGAGUAGGAGAUUUGGUUGAGAGGUUGGAGAGAUUUGGGGAGAGAUUCAUGGGAGAGAGGGGCGGUUGCAGAAUCGUGUAUUGAGGGGGAAGGUUCGAUUUUUUUUCUUUUUUUUUCUUAUUUCUGAUUUACUUGAAUUUAUUUGGUAUUUUAUUUGUAGAUUACGGAGGAUGAAGAUAUCUGCAGGGUCUUUAUUUAGUAAUUGGAUUAAUAUCAAGGAGAAUCUUUAAUUAAAUUAGUUUAA